AACGAACGCUGGCGGCGUGGAUAAGACAUGCAAGUCGAACGGGACAGACCGAGUAGCAAUAUUUGGAAUGUUCAGUGGCGAACGGGUGCGUAACACGUGGAUAACAUUCCGGAAAGCGGGGAAUAGCCCAGGGAAACUUGGAUUAAUACCGCAUGUGGCCGCAAGGCUAAAGACGGGGACCGCAAGGCCUUUCACUUUCCGAUUGGUCCGCGGCCUAUCAGCUAGCUGGCGGGGUAAUGGCCCACCAAGGCUACGACGGGUAGCUGGUCUUAGAGGACGACCAGCCACACUGGAACUGAGACACGGCCCAGACACCUACGGGUGGCAGCAGUCGAGAAUCUUUCACAAUGGGGGCAACCCUGAUGGAGCGACGCCGCGUGGAGGAUAAGGUCUUCGGAUUGUAAACUCCUGUCAUGCGAGAACAAGGUACUCAGGCUAAUAACCUGAUUGUUUGAUGGUACCGCAAGAGGAAGAGACGGCUAACUCUGUGCCAGCCGCCGCGGUAAAAC
rnacentral:rRNA from 1 species